GAUGAACGCUAGCGAUAGGCCUAACACAUGCAAGUCGAGGGGCAUCACAAAGAGUAGCAAUACCUUUGGUGGCGACCGGCGGAUGGGUGAGUAACACGUAUGCAACCUACCUUCUACAUUGGGAUAACCCGUUGAAAGACGGACUAAUACCGUAUAAUACAGGGGCUCCGCAUGGAGAUAUUUGUUAAAGAUUAUUGGUAGAAGAUGGGCAUGCGUAUGAUUAGAUAGUUGGUGAGGUAACGGCUCACCAAGUCAACGAUCAUUAGGGGUUCUGAGAGGAAGGUCCCCCACACUGGUACUGAGACACGGACCAGACUCCUACGGGAGGCAGCAGUGAGGAAUAUUGGUCAAUGGACGAGAGUCUGAACCAGCCAAGUCGCGUGAAGGAAGACGGUUCUAUGAAUUGUAAACUUCUUUUGUGCAGGAAUAAAGUGGGUUACGUGUAACCUUUUGUAUGUACUGUACGAAUAAGGAUCGGCUAACUCCGUGCCAGCCGCCGCGGUAAGAC
rnacentral:rRNA from 1 species